rnacentral:rRNA from 1 species
UUAUACGGGAGGCAGCAGUGGGGAAUAUUGCACAAUGGGGGAAACCCUGAUGCAGCCAUGCCGCGUGUGUGAAGAAGGCCUUCGGGUUGUAAAGCACUUUCAGUUGUGAGGAAAAGUUAGUAGUUAAUACCUGCUAGCCGUGACGUUAACAACAGAAGAAGCACCGGCUAACUCCGUGCCAGCAGCCGCGGUAAUACGGAGGGGGCGAGCGUUAAUCGGAAUUACUGGGCGUAAAGCGCACGCAGGCGGUUUGUUAACCUAGAUGUGAAAGCCCCGGGCUCAACCUGGGAUGGUCAUUUAGAACUGGCAGACUAGAGUCUUGGAGAGGGGAGUGGAAUUCCAGGUGUAGCGGUGAAAUGCGUAGAUAUCUGGAGGAACAUCAGUGGGGAAGGCGACUCCCUGGCCAAAGACUGACGCUCAUGUGCGAAAGUGUGGGUAGCGAAAAGGAUUAAAUACCCUGGUAGUCCACACCGCAAACGCUUGCCACUAGCUGUGUGUGCCUUAAGAACGGCGUACCGAACUAACGCGCCUAGAAAACCGCCU